AUUGAACGCUGGCGGCAUGCCUUACACAUGCAAGUCGAACGGCAGCACGGGUGCUUGCACCUGUUGGCGAGUGGCGAACGGGUGAGUAAUACAUCUGUACAUGUCCUGUCGUUUGGGAUAGCCCUGCGAAAGCCGGAUUUAUACCGCAUACGAUCUACGUAUGACAGCGUGGGCCCUUCUGUCCUCGCGCUUUUGUGUUUGCCUAUGGCUGAUUAGCUAGUUGGUUUGGUAAAGUCCUACCAAGGCGACGAUCAGUAGCUGGUAUGAGAGGACGACCAGCGAAACGGGGACGGAGAAACGGACAAGAGGACGAAGGGAGGAAGAAGUGGGGAAUUUGGGACAAGGGGGGAAAGGAGGAUAAAGCAAUGCGGAGUGUGGGAAGAAGGACUUAGGGUUGGAAAGAAAUUUUGUGCGGAAAGAAAAACUUGGGACUAAAAAGGGCGGGGGAUGACGGUAACGGAAGAAUAAGCAACGGCUAACUACGUG
rnacentral:rRNA from 1 species